UCCCGAGCGUUNUCCGGAUUUAUUGGGCGUAAAGGGAGCNCAGGCGGUCAGGAAGGUCUGGAGUAAAGGGCUAUGGCUCAACCAUAGUGUGCUNUGGAAACUGUCUGACUUGAGUGCAGAAGGGGAGAGUGGAAUUCCAUGUGUAGCGGUGAAAUGCGUAGAUAUAUGGAGGAACACCAGUGGCGAAAGCGGCUCUCUGGUCUGUCACUGACGCUGAGGCUCGAAAGCGUGGGUAGCGAACAGGAUUAGAUACCCUGGUAGUNCACGCCGUAAACGAUGAGUGCUAGGUGUUAGGCCCUUUCCGGGGCUUAGUGCCGGAGCUAACGCAAUAAGCACUCCGCCUGGGGAGUACGACCGCAAGGUUGAAACUCAAAGGAAUUGACGGGGGCCCGCACAAGCGGUGGAGCAUGUGGUUUAAUUCGAAGCAACGCGAAGAACCUUACCAGGUCUUGACAUCCCGAUGUUAUUCUUAGAGAUAGGAAGUUACUUCGGUACAUCGGAGACAGGUGGUGCAUGGUUGUCGUCAGCUCGUGUCGUGAGAUGUUGGGUUAAGUCCCGCAACGAGCGCAACCCUUAUUGUUAGUUGCCAUCAUUAAGUUGGGCACUCUAGCGAGACUGCCGGUAAUAAACCGGAGGAAGGUGGGGAUGACGUCAAAUCAUCAUGCCCCUUAUGACCUGGGCUACACACGUGCUACAAUGGUCGGUACAACGAGUUGCGAGCCGGUGACGGCAAGCUAAUCUCUGAAAGCCGAUCUCAGUUCGGAUUGGAGGCUGCAACUCGCCUCCAUGAAGUCGGAAUCGCUAGUAAUCGCGGAUCAGCACGCCGCGGUGAAUACGUUCCCGGGCCUUGUACACACCGCCCGUCACACCACGAGAGUUUGUAACACCCGAAGUCGGUGAGGUAACCUUUUAGGGGCCAGCC
rnacentral:rRNA from 1 species